rnacentral:rRNA from 1 species
AUGCCCACCCCGCCUCAUAUUGUGCCGGAAUGGUAUUUCCUACCGAUCCAUGCCAUUCUUCGCAGUAUACCUGACAAAGCGAGAGGUGUAGCCGCAAUAGCACCAGUUUUUAUAUCUCUCUUGGCUUUACCUUUUUUAAAGAAAUGUAUGUGCGUAGUUCAAGUUUUCGACCGAUUCACCAAGGAAUAUUUUGGUUUCUUUUGGCGGAUUGCUUACUACUAG